AAUUCAAGAUGAAAAGUAACAGUGAGGAAACUGUGGUGGGAAUGUUGUCAAAAGUUUGGUGCUAUUCAGCACUCAUAAGCUAGCUGGCCUGCCCACACCCCUUAGAAUCUAUGAAUUCAGCUAUUUUAUAUAUAGCCUUCAGUGUGCCUCAGCUUGAACAGGACAUUAUGACCCCAAAGAGCAUAGGCAAACUUUGCUCAAGAGCAAAUUGCAGUUGUGAUAAAUACAUAAAGUGCUGUGUUUGUUCCUCUGCAGAAUUCUGUAGAUCACUUUGCAGCCAAAACAUUUCACUAAAACAAAAACAUUAAAUAAAUCAGAAAGUAGGAAAAGUUAGUAUUUCUCCUCUGCCCUAGUGCAGAAUCUGUUGCUAAAGAUUCAAGAUACAAGCCAAUAAUGCUCUUAGUAAAUGGAGCGAGCACGCUGUGAAUUUACUCAGGUUUUGUAAGAGUUUUGUAAUGUUUUGGGAGAAGGUGGGGAGAAGAUCUCUCAGUGGCAGUUUUUACCAAAUAAUUUCAUUCCUGUGAGUCACAUAGCUAGUUUGAUAGGUGAUUAACACAAAUUCCAAUGUUUUAAUUAGAGCAGAAGGCUAAGAAGGUGAAACGAGUUAUUCCACUUACAACCCCCUGGAGAAAGACCUAGUCUAGAGUGGAGAUUCAGGUUAUUCUGUAAUGUCUGAGAAGAACUUUUGUAGGUUGUCAAAUAAAGAUGAGUUAUCUAGAGAAAAAGGUUGCUGGUCUUUGUUAGAGUUUUAAUCAUCAGAGAGAGUUCUGCUUUGGAAAUGAUGACAGAAUGAUGACAGGUUAUGUGUCAGAAUUAGGAACGGAGACCAACAAGGGGGCCUUCAUGUUGUCUGUCUGCAACUGACUGCUAUUUCAAGACAAGAAAGAGGAAGAAACCUUUUGUAAACAACUGGAAGAGGUCUCACCAUUGCAGCACCUUCAGCAUGGGAGUGGGUAAGCAGUGGAACAGGCUUCCCAAAGAUGGAGCAUAUAAAUUCCUGUAGUAUUUCAAAACACUGCAUAAAGCUCCAUGCAACCUGAUCUAACUUUGAAGUUAGCACAGCUUUGAGCAGGAAUUUGGUCCAGAUUGACCUCCUGGGGGUCCCUUCUAACACUUCUUUCCUGUGUUUUUAAUGGAGACUUACUUGUGGAUUAACAUGUUGUCUGCUUUGUAAAUAUUAAAUAUCCCUGCUUCUCUGUUACAUAUUUGCCAUACAGAUAGUGAAAUAAAAAGACUUGCCUAGCUC
ensembl:lncRNA